UACGUAGGUGGCAAGCGUUGUCCGGAUUUACUGGGCGUAAAGCGUCUGUAGGUGGCUUUUUAAGUCCGCCGUCAAAUCCCAGGGCUCAACUCUGGACAGGCGGUGGAAACUACCAAGCUGGAGUACGGUAGGGGCAGAGGGAAUUUCCGGUGGAGCGGUGAAAUGCGUAGAGAUCGGGAAGAACACCAACGGCGAAAGCACUCUGCUGGGCCGACACUGACACUGAGAGACGAAAGCUAGGGGAGCGAAUGGG
rnacentral:rRNA from 1 species